CAAUUUAAAUUCUAUUAAAGAAUUUUCAUUUACAUUGAAAUUAAAGUUGUGUAAUUCAAUUUAAAUUGA
rnacentral:tRNA from 1 species